GGGGACUGUUUCCUGGCACCUGGCACUUCCCAGGAAGGUCUUUGAGUCAAUGCUUAGCUCUGACUUCUGGAACCAAGUUGAUGGUACUUGGCAUGAAUUUUCCAGUCCUUAAUCUGGGACUAAGUUUGAUGGACCUUUUCCCAUUCCUCCUUGUACUGGCUGACUUUGUGUGUCAACCUGACACAACCUGGAGUUAUCACAGAGAAAGGAGCCUCAGUUGAGGAAAUGCCUCCA
rnacentral:lncRNA from 1 species